rnacentral:tRNA from 1 species
ACCUGACUGGCUCAGUCAGUAGAGUGUGAGACUCGUGAUCUCAGAGUCGUGAGUUCAAGCCCCACACUGGGUG